AGAGAAGCGAUACCGCGNGGAGGAGCAAAUCUGAAAAAAGACGUCCCUAGUUCGGAUUGUAGUCUGCAACCCGACUACAUGAAGCUGGAAUCGCUAGUAAUCGCGAAUCAGAAUGUCGCGGUGAAUACGUUCCCGGGUCUUGUACACACCGCCCGUCACACCAUGGGAGUCGGAAAUGCCCGAAGUCAGUGACCUAACCGAAAGGGAGGAGCUGCCGAAGGUGGAGCCGGUAACUGGGGUGAAGUCGUAACAAGGUAUC
rnacentral:rRNA from 1 species